rnacentral:rRNA from 1 species
CUACGGGAGGCAGCAGUGGGGAAUCUUGCGCAAUGGGCGAAAGCCUGACGCAGCGACGCCGCGUGCGGGAAGAAGGCCUUAGGGUUGUAAACCGCUUUCAGGAGGGACGAAGCCACUCGGGUGAACAGCCCAGAGGGUGACGGUACCUCCAGAAGAGGCCCCGGCUAACUACGUGCCAGCAGCCGCGGUAAUACGUAGGGGGCAAGCGUUGUCCGGAUUCAUUGGGCGUAAAGAGCGUGUAGGCGGCCAGGUAGGUCGGUUGUGAAAACUGGAGGCUCAACCUUCAGACGUCGACCGAAACCCCCUGGCUAGAGUCCGGGAGAGGAGAGUGGAAUUCCUGGUGUAGCGGUGGAAUGCGCAGAUAUCAGGAAGAACACCCGUGGCGAAAGCGGCUCUCUGGAACGGUACUGACGCUGAGACGCGAAAGCGUGGGGAGCGAACAGGAUUAGAAACCCGAGUAGUCC